UACAGUCCCAACCACAACAACUACAGCCCCAACCACAACAACUACAGUCCCAACCACAACAACUACAGCUCCAACCACAACACCUCCAGCCACAACUACAACAUCUCCAGCCACAACUACAACACCUCCAGCCCCAACUACAACACCUCCAGGCACUGCAGCAAUAAUAUAUCUAAAAAUGAAAAUCACCACGUAUGGUGAGCUCAGCAAUGGAACCAUCGCUGAGCGUGUCAAUCAGUUCUUUAGAACGACGCUCCUGAACAGCACAGACUUCACAGUGAACGUGAAAACCAUUGAAAGGGUCCCAUAGUUGCCCCAUAGAAGCUCCAUGGGGACAGAGACUGUAAAAAAAACAAUUGUACUGGUGGUAUAGUUUUAACACAAUGUAAAAGGGGAGUUCAUCAUAAUGAUUUUAUUAUAUAUGGAAAGAAAUAUUUGAGUUUUGUGACAGUUAGCUAAACACAUCAGAUGUAAUUGUGCUCCACUGUGCUGCAAAGAUCCACAACAUCUAUUUCCAAACCACCAGAAGUAGCUGGAUUGUGCUCAAGGUGCAUGAGAAGGUGUUUUGGGGGAAAUGCAGAAGCUUGGAAGUCCCCUCAUGCACCUUUUAUUUUGUUAAAUAACAUGUCAAAUAUUUGCAGCACAGCACAGUUGAUUUUAUUUCCCAGGAUUGUAAAUAAUAGAGAAGUGCAUUUGACUCAAGUGUAAAGUUAUGAGCACAGUAAGCUGGGAAUCUCAAACCAAGAAAUUUGAUCUGUCAAAGAGGUGUUUUUUAUUAAUUGGUGUCUGUAGUUCCCAUGCUUUGUAACUGGAGCAGUAGCUGUAAUGCUGGCCCAAGUAGACAGGAAACUCACAAACAGUUUCCCGCUCACUCCUCCCUUCAUUUCUCAUAAAUGUGAUAAUGAUUCACACAAAACACCGGCAACAAUAACCUUGGUGAGCUUCCUUAUUAAAGGUCGAACCACAAUAGGAAUGUUAGGUCACUAUUACUGGCCAAGUCCACCGUCACCUCAAAUGAAUGUGAACUUCCUUUGUCUUGCCAUGUCGAGAAUUAAUUCAGACUCGUCUUUCCAGUUCACCAGAGGAACAGCAUGUGAAAGCACUGCUUGUUAGUCAGGUGGUGCUGGGACAUUCUUCAUGAAGGUUAUAAAGCCUCUGCAAGCACAUCAUUGUUUCUGUUUCAUGGUCUCGAGGCACCAUGAAGGAAUGGAUAAAUUUUUUUUUGGUGGUUUUUAUUUGACCCUGUUUCAGUCAAUUUAAUGAAGCAUGAAGUGUUAAAUACGUGUAAAAGCAAGUUUAACCCUUCGUGAUCAUGAAGUAUAACCUGUAUGUAUCCGUCAUGUCUUACUUCCUUGCUGCAGGGACUCUUCAGACAGAGUCAAUAUUAUCAUAUGAUUAUUUUACAAUUCUUAUUUAUUGUUCUUACAUGAAUUUUACACAUUGGCUCCAAACCCCCCCCCCAACCAACCCUCACAGGAUAAGCAAUAUGAAUGUAUAAAUAUAGAAACUUAUUUAGUUGAGACACUUGAUGAAUGAGUAAAGCAGUUAUGUUGUGUCGUAUCCUUUCGAAAGAUAAAUAAAGAGGCAUAUUAGCGUGAAGCGUCCAUUCAUUGUAUUCUUUAAUAAAUCUUUUUUUUUUGUUUGUUUUUAAAGCAUACAGAAUACAUAUAUAAAAUUUGUUGAGAUCACCAAUUAAACAUGUUUUGAAACAGAUAUAAAAGAGGGAAAAUGUUGAUUAUCUAACAAUGCUCAGUGUAUGAAAUUACAAAUAACAGCUGUUCUGUUUAGAUGUCACAGAUAUCUGUAUGAAAAUAUGUACAAACUGGAGAUACAGGAAUUUAGCAUUGUUUUUUGAAUAACUAUUAAAAGUUUAAAAGAAAA